rnacentral:rRNA from 1 species
AUGACUGGUGACAAGAAUCUAUUGAUGGAUGCUCGCUUAUCACCAUCGCAUCUGAAGCAUAUCAUCUUCGCUGACAAAGGCAGAAGUCAGGUAUUGGGUCUAGGUAAGGUUGCGAUCACAAAGGAUCGACACAUGGACAAAGUCAUGCUUGUCGAGUCCUUAGGAUACAACCUUAUGUCUGUCUCAAUGCUUUGUGAUCUUGAUAUGGUUGUUGUCUUUGGCAAGUAUUGUUGUGUUGUGGUUAUGGAAGCUGACAAUUCCAAAGUCUUCGAAGGCUUUAGGAGAGGAGACUUGUAUAUUGUUGAUUUCUCUACAGGACUGCAACCAGCCAUGUGCCUACUUGCAAAAGCUUCAGAAGGUUGGCUAUGGCAUCGACGACUUGGUCAUGCAGGCAUGAGGAAUUUGCACACGCUUGCGAAGAAGAAGCAUGUCAUUGGCAUUGAAAAUGUCAAAUUCCUCAAGGAUCACUUAUGCGGAGCCUGUGAAGCUGGAAAAAUGACCAAGGCUAAGCAUCCAGCGAAGACUAUCAUGACCACUACUCGACCAUUUGAAUUGCUCAUAUGGAUCUCUUCGGUCCUAAUCAUUACUCAGCAGUCACUAACGAUGCUUCUCUAUAUGGUCUUGUUAUUGUUGAUGAUUACUCUCGUUACACAUGGGUACACAUUGUUACUUACAAACAUGAAGUGCAGGAAGUCUUCAAACAAUUUUCCUCGAGGGCUUCAACCAACUUUGGUGUGA